rnacentral:rRNA from 1 species
CUACGGGGGGCUGCAGUGAGGAAUAUUGCACAAUGGGGGGAACCCUGAUGCAGCAACGCCGCGUUGAGGAUGACGCAUUUCGGUGUGUAAACUCCUUUUAUAUGUCAAGAAAAUGACGGUAGCAUAUGAAUAAGCACCGGCUAACUCCGUGCCAGCAGCCGCGGUAAUACGGAGGGUGCAAGCGUUACUCGGAAUCACUGGGCGUAAAGGACGCGUAGGCGGGUUGGAAAGUCAGGUGUGAAAUCCUACAGCUUAACUGUAGAACUGCGCUUGAAACUUCUAAUCUAGAGUAUGGGAGGGGGAGAUGGAAUUAGUGGUGUAGGGGUAAAAUCCGUAGAUAUCACUAGGAAUACCUAAAGCGAAGGCGAUCUCCUGGAACAUUACUGACGCUAAGGCGUGAAAGCGUGGGGAGCAAACAGGAUUAGAUACCCGUGUAGUC